CCUCAUGCAGUCUUAGGUGGGGCUCUUUUGGAAUCUAGAGUGCAAUUGAUUCACGGUGCAAUGUUAGGCCUGAGGGCUCUAGGACUAAGGGUAUGAGUGCUACUUGCCCUAAGUAGUCUUAAUAAGAUAAAAGGGGCAGAAAGCCACUGUUACCUUUUGCUACCCUGUGGAUGCCAUUAACUGUUUCUCCUUUGGGAUGCAUCUGCCAUGUGCCACUCUGCCUUGGAGCCAGCUGAUUAUGGAUUGUCCUCUACAAACUGAGGGAUUGAACUCAGGACCUUGUGCUUGCAUGGCAUGUACCGGAACCACUGAGCUAAAUCCCUGGCCCUCGGCAUCUGAGUUUUGACAGAGAAGCCAAAAAUAUAUGCUGGAAGACAGAUAGCCUCUUUAUUUAACAAAUGAUGCUGGGAAAACUAGGUAUCCACAUGCCGAAGAUUGAAUCUAGACCCAUAUAUCUCACAAUCUACUAAAUGAAAAUCAAAAUGGAUCAAAUAUGCUCCUGGGAUCAAGGCAAUGCCAAACCAAUCAGUCGACCGAUUUAGUAAUCACAUACCCUUAAUCCCAACAUCACACACCCUAGAUCCAGCCAUCUCUGAAAAAGCCCCAUCUAAGACCGCAUGAGGUGUUGGGGCUACAUCUAGACACAAGCCAAAACAGCAUAUGAAAAGAGUUAAGAUGUUUUAUGUAUGCAUGCUGACUCCCUGUGUUGAAUAUAACCAUUGUAUACUGCAUAUAUGUACUACUAGUAAAGUUUAAAAAUCAGUAUGUAUGAAUCCUCAAAUGAAACAUUUUGAUUAUGAGAAAACUUCCCAGAGUAGUUCAGGGUUAAAAGGAAGCCCAUGUUUAGGAAUACAUCAAAAUUAUGAAAAUUUUAAAAACAAAAAGAUUACUGGAUGAAUACACCACCCACACUGGCAACACAAAGGAGUAAAAGAGAAGAUACAGAUAAGCAGAACACCAAAAGAAGGGAAACUACUACAGACUGAACGAAGAGAAUACACUGAUGGAUGUCUCCAUAGUAAUACCCUGAAACAAAUCCAAGGCGAGAAGGGUGAUUAAUACAGCAUCUGGAUGCCCACGACUGGGAACUGUAGUGUGUAAG
ensembl:lncRNA